CUCGGUGACCUUGGGUUCCCCAGCCCCCAGACAGGGCCAGGACUGGGGAGGUUGUCAGCCCAGGGAGCACCCUGAAAUGUUCAAGCAGAAACUGGUGCUAGCUGACCAGUGCACUGCCCAGGGCCUGCUUCACUCGUCCUCCUCACACCCAGCAGCACAGCCCUGAAAGCUUGAGCCAGCCCUGGAGCCUGGAGCCCUCCCCUAAGGACCUGGUUCUGUGACCCAGAGGACUCUGGGGUCAGGGCCAUUUCCUCUUAGGAGGAGACUGGGCAGGGCCAGGCAGAACCUUUGCCAAGUUCUCUUCUUCCCUCCCUCCCAGCUACCCGAGGGGUUUCCCUGGCCACCAGGCCUCACAGGCCUGGACCUCAACCUGGUAGAAGUGGCCCCUUUUGCUCCCAAAUCUGUUUCUCCGUGUGGGCCCCAUCUUGGUCCCCAACAGUCCUUAUUGGCCAUCCCAGAACACCUGCCCGUGAACCCCCCAUGGCCACCUUUCCUGCCCUGCUCACCUGAGCGGGGGAAGCUCCUCUCUGGUGCUCUGCCUUUCACUGGUCACUGCAUUCCAGCCCUGAGGUCACCCCUUUCCCACCUCCACCCUCUGCAUGUGGAGACCCCUGCCCCCGAAGGCAGGCCUCGCCUCGCCCUGCCUAUGAGUGGCCGGUGGGUAGCCUGUGCUGGGACCUCACUGGGCUCCCUGAGUACAGAGCCUCCUGUCCGCAGGGCCAGCGGGUCUCAGCCUAGCCCUGGGUUCAGUGCAUGCCUGAUGAGGACCCCAGAUCUGCAAACGUCUCCUAGCACAGGGACAGUCACUCCUGGAGGGACUCCCACUCAGGGUGGUCCCCAGGGGAGCAGAGCAGCUGCAGCCAGACUCAGGGCCUGACAGGCCUUAUGUGGGUCAGCCUUGCAGGCACAGCUGGGACCCCCAGCUGCAUACCUGUGCAGGGCUGGGGUCCACGCCACUCCAGGCCCAGUGGGGGCUCCCAAACACACUCCUGAACCCCUGCACGCUGGGCCCCAGCGCGGACAGUGAGCCCCGAAGGCUCCAGUGUCCACAGGGACGCUGGAGACCCACCAAGACAGCUGCUCCACUGGGCUGUGGGCCUGUGGCUUGCCCUCACCUGCCCCGGCCACCAUGCAGGCCUGGCUGUGUGCGCACUCCACCUGUCAUGUCUGAAAGCGCAUGUGAUGAGGCGGGGAGGGGACAGCAAGUGGAAGAUUUUUUCCCCCGUGUGGUGCCUGGCUGCCCCUCCCUGCCCCUUCCUGCCCACCCCCUUCAGCCUUUGCACAGGAAAUGAAGGAGUAACGUAAGCCAGAAGCUCAGCCGCCCCUCAGCCCAGAGGAAGCGAUUCAAGUUGUUUACGAGUUUGUUUUCAUUUCGAGCGGACGCCUGGCCUGCCCAGCAUCCUCUGCACCGUGGACGCCUCGGGAGGUCCAUCCACUGCCCAAGACCCUCUCCGCAGAGAGAGAGCAGCGAGGGGCGGGCCGUGGGUGCUCUUUCUCCUGAGAAUGGAAUGUUUUCUGGAAAA